rnacentral:rRNA from 1 species
AGGGAAGAAACGGUGGGAGCUAAUAUCUUUUGCUAAUGACGGUACCUGAAGAAUAAGCACCGGCUAACUACGUGCCAGCAGCCGCGGUAAUACGUAGGGUGCAAGCGUUAAUCGGAAUUACUGGGCGUAAAGCGUGCGCAGGCGGUUUUGUAAGUCUGAUGUGAAAUCCCCGGGCUCAACCUGGGAAUUGCAUUGGAGACUGCAAGGCUAGAAUCUGGCAGAGGGGGGUAGAAUUCCACGUGUAGCAGUGAAAUGCGUAGAUAUGUGGAGGAACACCGAUGGCGAAGGCAGCCCCCUGGGUCAAGAUUGACGCUCAUGCACGAAAGCGUGGGGAGCAAACAGGAUUAGAUACCCUGGUAGUCCACGCCCUAAACGAUGUCUACUAGUUGUCGGGUCUUAAUUGACUUGGUAACGCAGCUAACGCGUGAAGUAGACCGCCUGGGGAGUACGGUCGCAAGAUUAAAACUCAAAGGAAUUGACGGGGACCCGCACAAGCGGUGGAUGAUGUGGAUUAAUUCGAUGCAACGCGAAAAACCUUACCUACCCUUGACAUGGCUGGAAUCCCGGAGAGAUUUGGGAGUGCUCGAAAGAGAACCAGUACACAGGUGCUGCAUGGCUGUCGUCAGC